AAAUUUUGGUGCUGUUUCACUUUCUCUGUCAGGCCGAGGGAACCCAGGAGACGGUCAGCCACAACGCUCUGCUCUGCCCUGCAGAGGGCCCAGUGGAGAAGGACAUCUCUCUGAAGCUGCCUGAGGUGUUUGUGGAGGGCUCUGCCAAGGCCUCCCUCUCAGUACUGGGUGACCUGAUGGGUCGGCCAUAAAGAACCUGGGA